rnacentral:rRNA from 1 species
UUAAGUUAUUAAGGGCGCACGGUGGAUGCCUUGGCACUAGAAGCCGAUGAAGGACGUUACUAACGACGAUAUGCUUUGGGGAGCUGUAAGUAAGCUUUGAUCCAGAGAUUUCCGAAUGGGGAAACCCAGCAUGAGUUAUGUCAUGUUAUCUAUAUGUGAAUACAUAGCAUAUCAGAAGGCACACCCGGAGAACUGAAACAUCUUAGUACCCGGAGGAAGAGAAAGAAAAUUCGAUUCCCUUAGUAGCGGCGAGCGAAACGGGAAGAGCCCAAACCAACAAGCUUGCUUGUUGGGGUUGUAGGACACUCUAUACGGAGUUACAAAGGACGACAUUAGACGAAUCAUCUGGAAAGAUGAAUCAAAGAAGGUAAUAAUCCUGUAGUCGAAAAUGUUGUCUCUCUUGAGUGGAUCCUGAGUACGACGGAGCACGUGAAAUUCCGUCGGAAUCUGGGAGGACCAUCUCCUAAGGCUAAAUACUCUCUAGUGACCGAUAGUGAACCAGUACCGUGAGGGAAAGGUGAAAAGCACCCCGGAAGGGGAGUGAAAUAGAACCUGAAACCGUGUGCUUACAAGUAGUCAGAGCCCGUUAAUGGGUGAUGGCGUGCCUUUUGUAGAAUGAACCGGCGAGUUACGAUUUGAUGCAAGGUUAAGCAGUAAAUGUGGAGCCGUAGCGAAAGCGAGUCUGAAUAGGGCGUUUAGUAUUUGGUCGUAGACCCGAAACCAGGUGAUCUACCCUUGGUCAGGUUGAAGUUCAGGUAACACUGAAUGGAGGACCGAACCGACUUACGUUGAAAAGUGAGCGGAUGAACUGAGGGUAGCGGAGAAAUUCCAAUCGAACCUGGAGAUAGCUGGUUCUCUCCGAAAUAGCUUUAGGGCUAGCCUCAAGUGAUGAUUAUUGGAGGUAGAGCACUGUUUGGACGAGGGGCCCCUCUCGGGUUACCGAAUUCAGACAAACUCCGAAUGCCAAUUAAUUUAACUUGGGAGUCAGAACAUGGGUGAUAAGGUCCGUGUUCGAAAGGGAAACAGCCCAGACCACCAGCUAAGGUCCCAAAAUAUAUGUUAAGUGGAAAAGGAUGUGGCGUUGCCCAGACAACUAGGAUGUUGGCUUAGAAGCAGCCAUCAUUUAAAGAGUGCGUAAUAGCUCACUAGUCGAGUGACACUGCGCCGAAAAUGUACCGGGGCUAAACAUAUUACCGAAGCUGUGGAUUGUCCUUUGGACAAUGGUAGGAGAGCGUUCUAAGGGCGUUGAAGCAUGAUCGUAAGGACAUGUGGAGCGCUUAGAAGUGAGAAUGCCGGUGUGAGUAGCGAAAGACGGGUGAGAAUCCCGUCCACCGAUUGACUAAGGUUUCCAGAGGAAGGCUCGUCCGCUCUGGGUUAGUCGGGUCCUAAGCUGAGGCCGACAGGCGUAGGCGAUGGAUAACAGGUUGAUAUUCCUGUACCACCUAUAAUCGUUUUAAUCGAUGGGGGGACGCAGUAGGAUAGGCGAAGCGUGCGAUUGGAUUGCACGUCUAAGCAGUAAGGCUGAGUAUUAGGCAAAUCCGGUACUCGUUAAGGCUGAGCUGUGAUGGGGAGAAGACAUUGAGUCUUCGAGUCGUUGAUUUCACACUGCCGAGAAAAGCCUCUAGAUAGAAAAUAGGUGCCCGUACCGCAAACCGACACAGGUAGUCAAGAUGAGAAUUCUAAGGUGAGCGAGCGAACUCUCGUUAAGGAACUCGGCAAAAUGACCCCGUAACUUCGGGAGAAGGGGUGCUCUUUAGGGUUAACGCCCAGAAGAGCCGCAGUGAAUAGGCCCAAGCGACUGUUUAUCAAAAACACAGGUCUCUGCUAAACCGUAAGGUGAUGUAUAGGGGCUGACGCCUGCCCGGUGCUGGAAGGUUAAGAGGAGUGGUUAGCUUCUGCGAAGCUACGAAUCGAAGCCCCAGUAAACGGCGGCCGUAACUAUAACGGUCCUAAGGUAGCGAAAUUCCUUGUCGGGUAAGUUCCGACCCGCACGAAAGGCGUAACGAUUUGGGCACUGUCUCAACGAGAGACUCGGUGAAAUCAUAGUACCUGUGAAGAUGCAGGUUACCCGCGACAGGACGGAAAGACCCCGUGGAGCUUUACUGUAGCCUGAUAUUGAAAUUCGGCACAGCUUGUACAGGAUAGGUAGGAGCCUUUGAAACGUGAGCGCUAGCUUACGUGGAGGCGCUGGUGGGAUACUACCCUAGCUGUGUUGGCUUUCUAACCCGCACCACUUAUCGUGGUGGGAGACAGUGUCAAGCGGGCAGUUUGACUGGGGCGGUCGCCUCCUAAAAGGUAACGGAGGCGCUCAAAGGUUCCCUCAGAAUGGUUGGAAAUCAUUCAUAGAGUGUAAAGGCAUAAGGGAGCUUGACUGCGAGACCUACAAGUCGAGCAGGGUCGAAAGACGGACUUAGUGAUCCGGUGGUUCCGCAUGGAAGGGCCAUCGCUCAACGGAUAAAAGCUACCCCGGGGAUAACAGGCUUAUCUCCCCCAAGAGUUCACAUCGACGGGGAGGUUUGGCACCUCGAUGUCGGCUCAUCGCAUCCUGGGGCUGUAGUCGGUCCCAAGGGUUGGGCUGUUCGCCCAUUAAAGCGGUACGCGAGCUGGGUUCAGAACGUCGUGAGACAGUUCGGUCCCUAUCCGUCGUGGGCGUAGGAAAUUUGAGAGGAGCUGUCCUUAGUACGAGAGGACCGGGAUGGACAUACCUCUGGUGUACCAGUUGUCGUGCCAACGGCAUAGCUGGGUAGCUAUGUGUGGACGGGAUAAGUGCUGAAAGCAUCUAAGCAUGAAGCCCCCCUCAAGAUGAGAUUUCCCAACUUCGGUUAUAAGAUCCCUCAAAGAUGAUGAGGUUAAUAGGUUCGAGGUGGAAGCAUGGUGACAUGUGGAGCUGACGAAUACUAAUCGAUCGAAGACUUAAUCAA